GAUGAACGCUGGCGGCGUGCCUAACACAUGCAAGUCGAACGGAGAUUUAACGCUGAUGAGGCUUCGGCGGAUUCUUGUUAAAUCUUAGUGGCGGACGGGUGAGUAACGCGUGGGCAACCUGCCUCAUACUGGGGGAUAACAGUUGGAAACGGCUGUUAAUACCGCAUAAGCGCACAGCAUCGCAUGAUGCAGUGUGAAAAACUCCGGUGGUAUGAGAUGGGCCCGCGUCAGAUUAGCCAGUUGGCAGGGUAACGGCCUACCAAAGCAACGAUCUGUAGCCGGCCUGAGAGGGCGGACGGCCACAUUGGGACUGAGACACGGCCCAAACUCCUACGGGAGGCAGCAGUGGGGGAUAUUGCACAAUGGAGGAAACUCUGAUGCAGCGACGCCGCGUGAGUGAAGAAGUAUUUCGGUAUGUAAAGCUCUAUCAGCAGGGAAGAAAGGCUCGUAAGAGAGAUGACG
rnacentral:rRNA from 1 species